GCAGAGCACUGUGGAAGGACACCAGAUUACCUGAGUUUUACAAAGAGAAAAGGUAAAAAGAGAAAGGGGUGAGACUUGUUUGAUGACAUGGUCUGAAAUAAACUCUGUGGUCCUCAGGCUACAUCCAACCACCUGGAACCCCAAGCUCAUUCCAGCCUGUUGUUUGGAUAAUUUUUAUGUUUGUUAUAUAUCGAACGAGCUUGGGGUUACAGGUGGUCAUAUAGAACGAGCUUGGGGUUACAGGUGGUCAUAUAGAACGAGCUUGGGGUUACAGGUGGUCAUAUAGAACGAGCUUGGGGUUACAGGUGGUCAUAUCGAACGAGCUUGGGGUUACAGGUGGUCAUAUAGAACGAGCUUGGGGUUACAGGUGGUCAUAUCGAACGAGCUUGGGGUUACAGGUGGUCAUAUAGAACGAGCUUGGGGUUACAGGUGGUCAUAUAGAACGAGCUUGGGGUUACAGGUGGUCAUAUCGAACGAGCUUGGGGUUACAGGUGGUCAUAUAGAACGAGCUUGGGGUUACAGGUGGUCAUAUCGAACGAGCUUGGGGUUACAGGUGGUCAUAUAGAACGAGCUUGGGGUUACAGGUGGUCAUAUAGAACGAGCUUGGGGUUACAGGUGGUCAUAUCGAACGAGCUUGGGGUUACAGGUGGUCAUAUAGAACGAGCUUGGGGUUACAGGUGGUCAUAUCGAACGAGCUUGGGGUUACAGGUGGUCAUAUAGAACGAGCUUGGGGUUACAGGUGGUCAUAUCGAACGAGCUUGGGGUUACAGGUGGUCAUAUAGAACGAGCUUGGGGUUACAGGUGGUCAUAUAGAACGAGCUUGGGGUUACAGGUGGUCAUAUCGAACGAGCUUGGGGUUACAGGUGGUCAUAUAGAACGAGCUUGGGGUUACAGGUGGUCAUAUAGAACAAGCUUGGGGUUACAGGUGGUUGGAUGUUGCCUGAAGACCAAAGAGUAUCUUUCAGACCAUAUAGUUCUGACAAUAUGCUGUAGCAGAACCAGGGUGACAUUUCCCUUUAAGGUGUGACCAGGCCCUCUAGUGGCCUGGGCCUGUAAUAGUAGGUUGUUUUCUCUUCAGCUGUGCUGAAAUACUGUAGUAGUUAGCUAUCCUGGCAGACACU